rnacentral:rRNA from 1 species
GAUGAACGCUGGCGGCGUGCCUAACACAUGCAAGUCGAGCGAAGCGCUGUUUUCAGAAUCUUCGGAGGAAGAGGACAGUGACUGAGCGGCGGACGGGUGAGUAACGCGUGGGCAACCUGCCUCAUACAGGGGGAUAACGGUUAGAAAUGACUGCUAAUACCGCAUAAGCGCACAGGACCGCAUGGUGUAGUGUGAAAAACUCCGGUGGUAUGAGAUGGACCCGCGUCUGAUUAGGUAGUUGGUGGGGUAAAGGCCUACCAAGCCGACGAUCAGUAGCCGACCUGAGAGGGUGACCGGCCACAUUGGGACUGAGACACGGCCCAAACUCCUACGGGAGGCAGCAGUGGGGAAUAUUGCACAAUGGGGGAAACCCUGAUGCAGCGACGCCGCGUGAAGGAAGAAGUAUUUCGGUAUGUAAACUUCUAUCAGCAGGGAAGAAAAUGACGGUACCUGAGUAAGAAGCACCGGC